CAGUAGCCGCGGGAAUACAGAGGAUGCAAGCGUUAUCCGGAAUGAUUGGGCGUAAAGCGUCUGUAGGUGGCUUUUCAAGUCCGCCGUUAAAUCCCAGGGCUCAACCCUGGACAGGCGGGGGAAACUAUCAAGAUGGAGUACGGUAGGGGCAGAGGGAAUUUCCGGUGGAGCGGUGAAAUGCGUCGAGAUCGGAAAGAACACCAACGGUGAAAGCACUCUGCUGGGCCGACACUGACACUGAGAGACGAAAGUUAGGGGAGAAAAUGGGAUUAGAUACCCCAGUAGUCCCUGUCUCUUAUAC
rnacentral:rRNA from 1 species